rnacentral:rRNA from 1 species
UAAUAUGGUCAAGUAAUUAAGGGCGUACGGUGGAUGCCAAGGCACUAGAAGGCGAUGAAGGACGUGGUUUGCUGCGAUUAGCGACGGGGAGUUGUAAACAAGCUUUGAUCCGUCGAUUUCCGAAUGGGGGAACCCUACACGGCCAAACCGUGUAACACAGCAAUGUGGGCAAGACCCAGGGAAUUGAAACAUCUUAGUACCUGGAGGAAGAGAAAGAAACCUCGAUUCCGUCAGUAGCGGUGAGCGAAAGCGGA